rnacentral:rRNA from 1 species
UGACGAAGCGACGCCGCGUGUGGGAAGAAGGCCUUCGGGUUGUAAACCACUGUCGGGAGUUAAGAAAUGUAAGGGUAUAAAUAGUAUCCUUGCUUGACUAAGGCUCCGGAGGAAGCCACGGCUAACUCUGUGCCAGCAGCCGCGGUAAUACAGAGGCGGCAAGCGUUGUUCGGAAUUAUUGGGCGUAAAGAGCACGUAGGCGGCUGUGUAAGUCGGUUGUGAAAUCCUCCCGCUUAACGGGAGAACAGCGGCCGGUACUGCAUAGCUUGAGUGCGGGAGGGGAGAGUGGAACUUCUGGUGGAGCGGUGAAAUGCGUAGAUAUCAGAAGGAACGCCGGCGGCGAAAGCGACUCUCUGGACCGCAACUGACGCUGAGUGUGCGAAAGCUAGGGGAGCAAACGGGAUUAGAUACCCCGGUAGGCCUAGCCGUAAACGAUGGG